UCCACAGUGGCCCAGGGGUAAGGCGUGUCACUCGUAUGAUUUUCAUGAUGACAAGAUCAUCGGUUCGAAUCCGAUAGUGAGCAA